rnacentral:rRNA from 1 species
GAUGAACGCUGGCGGCGUGCCUAAUACAUGCAAGUCGAGCGAAUGGAUUAAGAGCUUGCUCUUAUGAAGUUAGCGGCGGACGGGUGAGUAACACGUGGGUAACCUGCCCAUAAGACUGGGAUAACUCCGGGAAACCGGGGCUAAUACCGGAUAACAUUUUGAACCGCAUGGUUCGAAAUUGAAAGGCGGCUUCGGCUGUCACUUAUGGAUGGACCCGCGUCGCAUUAGCUAGUUGGUAAGGUAACGGCUCACCAAGGCAACUAUGCGUAGACGAGCUGAGAGGGUGAUCGGCCACACUGAGACUGAGACACGGCCCAGACUCCUACGGGAGGCAGCAGUAGGGAAUCUUCCGCAAUGGACGAAAGUCUGACGGAGCAACGCCGCGUGAGUGAUGAAGGCUUUCGGGUCGUAAAACUCUGUUGUUAGGGAAGAACAAGUGCUAGUUGAAUAAGCUGGCACCUUGACGGUACCUAACCAGAAAGCCACGGCUAACUACGUGCCAGCAGCCGCGGUAA